rnacentral:rRNA from 1 species
AGAACGAACGCUGGCGGCAGGCCUAAUACAUGCAAGUCGAACGCCGUAGCAAUACGGAGUGGCAGACGGGUGAGUAACACGUGGGAACGUGCCCAAAGGUACGGAACAACUCCGGGAAACUGGAGCUAAUACCGUAUGUACCCGAGAGGGGAAAGAUUUAUCGCCUUUGGAUCGGCCCGCGUCUGAUUAGCUAGUUGGCGGGGUAAUGGCCCACCAAGGCGACGAUCAGUAGCUGGUCUGAGAGGAUGACCAGCCACACUGGGACUGAGACACGGCCCAGACUCCUACGGGAGGCAGCAGUAGGGAAUAUUGGACAAUGGGCGAAAGCCUGAUCCAGCCAUGCCGCGUGAGUGAUGAAGGCCUUAGGGUUGUAAAGCUCUUUCGCCAGGGACGAUAAUGACGGUACCUGGAUAAGAAGCCCGGCUAACUUCGUGCCAGCAGCCGC